UUUCCGUAGGUGAACCUGCGGAAGGAUCAUUACAGAGUUCAUGCCCUCACGGGUAGAUCUCCCACCCUUGAAUAUUUAUACCUUAGUUGCCUUGGCAGGCCGUGGAAACACCAUGGGCUCCGGCUUAUGCGUGCCUGCCAGAGGAAACAAACUCUGUUUUUAGUGAUGUCUGAGUACUACACAAUAGUUAAAACUUUCAACAACGGAUCUCUUGGUUCUG
rnacentral:misc_RNA from 1 species